AUGCUGCGGACCUCCCUGUCUGCACUUUCAGCGAGUGUUCCAACCGCAUCUACAGCAUCCCGACAGGCGAACACUGGCACUGCAGGCUCAACCAACAAUGAUUUUCGGAUCCUCGGCAAAAGCACUCUCCGUACAUCUGCAGGAAACCGAGAGGAAAGGGGUAGAGAGAAUCCUUCGUACCCAAACAGCGCGAGAGAGAGAGAGAGUCCGAGUGAGUGCAGAGCGAGAGAGAGACGGGAGGAUAGGCAAGUGGGUUUGUGGAGUAAAAAAAGAACGCCUGGACCUGCCAAGAUCAAGAGGAUUGUGUGUUAUUCUCGGAAUAAUUGCAACUGCGCUUAUUUGCAAAGUGUUUUUUUCGCCAAUCAAAAUGUCAUCGUCUGGGAAAGACAACAGUGGUGCUCAACAUGCCAAUUACGUGGGACCGUAUCGCUUGGAAAAGACGCUCGGCAAAGGACAGACAGGCCCGACUGAAGGAUGUUGGUGCUGACUUCAGGCAACCAAUUAAGUGUUAGCUGUAUGCAGAGUUCUGCCGAAUCAGGAACCAGAACUUGCCGAACUUCUUCUAUGCUGCGCUCAACUGUCACACCCCUCGUUUGAUGAACUUUUACCAACAGACAGCAUCCAAGACUGGAAGGAUCGCUUAUGCUUUGGGUGACAUUCUGAGGUGUCAUGAUCUAGGACAUGG
rnacentral:lncRNA from 13 species